AAAGCUUCAAGUUUCAUAAAAAAAAGAAUUUAGGUAAUGUUCGAGUUGCUAAUCAAAAUUUAAAAGGUCAAUAGAAGUAGCGAGAGAAAACUUAUCCAAGUUGUUGACAUUAAAUUUUGACAUUGUUGAAUUUUAAGCAGUUUUUGUUUUAAUGGUUACCAAACAAAAUAAGAAAAUUAUAAUACAGAGCUUUUGAAACUUUUGAAACAGUUAUGUGUAGUUUUUAAAAAAUGUUGAUCUGCUUGGAAUCUUGACGUUGCAGAAAACGAAGUUCAAGUCAACAAGUGCAAUAAUUGGUUAAUUUUUUCUUUUUUUUUGUUAUUGUAGAAUGCUUAAAAUGUCUAAAAAAGUUAAUCUUGUUCAAAUCAAGGAUACUUAUAAAGAAGAAAAGUUGGAACAUUUCUUACCAGAUGUUCAUAAGGACAAAUCAUUUAAACUUACUAAUAGAGAUGUUAAAGGUGGUGUUUAUCAUUUUUUAAAUUUGGAAAACUCUUUGAAAAAAUCAAAUCAACUAGAAACUAGUUCUUGUUUACCCGUAAUAAACAAAUGGUCGUCGUCUUUUAUUUGUUCUUCUAAUUGCACUACAGAAAAAAAACAAGAUAAAAUAAAACUGCCAUCUAUUGAUAGUUUGAACAAUAAUUUGAACAAAAAUCAAACAAAACAACGUCAC
rnacentral:lncRNA from 1 species